CUGUGGGUUCACAAUCUAAUUCUGGAGAUACAGCAACAGCCACCCGCUGUUUCCUGAGGUCCCCUCCAUCUUUGUCAAGGUUCACUAAGUCCUAUUUUGGGGGUUCUCUUUCGGAUUCAGUGAAGCCAAACUUGGUGGCCCGGAAGACACCGAGUCCCUCUCCAUCCUCUGUGAGGAGCCCAAGUCCCUCUCCAUCCUCUGUGAGGAGCCCUAGUGUUGCUCCAUCCUCCCAGACACACUCCGGCAAGACAGUUGCAUCUGAACAGCCUUCAACGUCUCUGUUACAACCAGCUGCAGGUGAUAAUGCAGCUUCUUUCUGGUUGCCGAGUGAGAUGAGGAAAACCAUCCCUGUGCAGGAUCAAAGAUGGAUCUCAAAUACCCUCUUUAAAUCUGGCAAACUGCGCCCAGAUUUAAAGCUGUGGUACGAGCCUCCUGCGCCGACCCUCAUUUACCAUCAGGUGCCAACACCUGAGAGGUUUUUUUCACAUCGGCUCCUCGUAUGGAUGCCCUACCAUCAGUGGAAGGUCAGGGUGUUCUGCAAAACUUGUGGGAAUCAUCUUACAGGUGCUGGCAUCCACAAGAGGGCUCGGAAAGUCCUGGAUAUUGAUAGGUAUUACCUCCUUGUGACGGAGACACUCAGGUGCAGCGGGUGUAAUCUCACGUAUCUAUCAACAUCCCAGAGCAUCCGAGACCAGCUGGACUUGCCGCACCAGAAACUAUUUCGGCUCAUCCUCACCCAAAAGUAUGCUUGUGACAUACGAGUGAUCAGGCUGAUGAGAGACAGGACACAGCCAAUAUAGAGGGCAAAUUUACUGUCCCUCUAAUGAAAGUCUCACUAAAGAGCAGUGGCUGGAACAAAUUAAAAAGAAAAAAUAAACAUUUUCUUUAUUUUAAAUAACUUCACUGUAUAUAAGUUUUAUUUAGUUCAUAGUGUGUUUAUUUUGUUUUGGGUUAAUGAUACAGAUAUUUAUUCUUAUUGUCAUUGUGUACACAAAGUAAUUCAACAAACCAUACAGUAAAAGGAUUUAAGUCCUUCAGCAAACCACAAAUUUCUUGGUUAAGAAAAAGAAAUGGGAGACUUCAAUGGAAAUGUGUUGCAUCCAAAUGCUACAAUGUUUUGGGACUAACUAAAAAUGUUUAAUUCACUGUCUUAAUUGUUGAAUAAAUAUUUGGUUCUUUUAAACCGAUAAGGUCUAUGGUCUUUUGUGAGUAAAUAUUAGCUGCUUCAAAUUCUGAAUUAUUGGUAAUUUAAGCAUACACUAGAAAAAAGAUAUCAUUCACUUCACUCAAAGUACUUUAGGAAAGACACUUGCAAUUUUAGUUUCAGUCACUGUUUUGCUGUGAAAAAUGAAAAUAAGCACUGGGUAUGAUUAAGGACAUUAAAAUAUACAUCAAGUAUAUAGUAUACAGUAUAAUUUAACACAUUAAUUUGAAUAU